GUUCAUUUGAUGUCUUCCUUAUGCCUGUUACUCCAUGUGCUUCUCCCCGUGAUCUUUCCUUGUGCUUUUUUUUGGAAUUUCUUUUUGGAUUUUUGGACUUUGAGUUUUCAGUAAGGAUUUUUUAACAUGUUUGGUGUCAGACGUGGGAUUCAUCAAGGUCCAAGUCGACAGGCGACAGAGGGAGUGGGGACCUGCGCGGUGACCGUCGAGGUGAAGGAGGGGACAGCAGUGGGGUCCAUCAGUCCCCCUCCCUACCUGUGUGUUAGCGGGGCUGUGCAGGUCUGCAGUGACAGUGGCGGAUGGAGCUGAGGGCACUUCCAGCGUUGGGGACUUUGAAAGAGCAGGACUGGCCUUCCUGCCCU